AAUAGAUACCCCGGUAGUCCACGCCGUAAACGAUGAAUGCUAGGUGUUAGGGGUUUCGAUACCCUUGGUGCCGAAGUUAACACAUUAAGCAUUCCGCCUGGGGAGUACGGCCGCAAGGCUGAAACUCAAAGGAAUUGACGGGGACCCGCACAAGCAGUGGAGUAUGUGGUUUAAUUCGAAGCAACGCGAAGAACCUUACCAGGUCUUGACAUCCCCCUGACCGGUACAGAGAUGUACCUUUCCUUCGGGACAGGGGAGACAGGUGGUGCAUGGUUGUCGUCAGCUCGUGUCGUGAGAUGUUGGGUUAAGUCCCGCAACGAGCGCAACCCUUGACUUUAGUUGCCAGCAAGUAAAGUUGGGCACUCUAGAGUGACUGCCGGUGACAAACCGGAGGAAGGUGGGGAUGACGUCAAAUCAUCAUGCCCCUUAUGACCUGGGCUACACACGUACUACAAUGGCCGGUACAACGGGAAGCGAAGGAGCGAUCUGGAGCGAAUCCUUUAAAGCCGGUCUCAGUUCGGAUUGCAGGCUGCAACUCG
rnacentral:rRNA from 1 species